UUGAUGAAUCGCACCCCCUUGUUUAUAGCCCCAAUACCAGAUUUUUGUCAAACCUGCCACCUUUUUACAUAAAGGAAAAAUAAAAUUCAAUUGUUCAUUAUAAUUUUUUAAAAUUUGUUUGAGGAAUUAUUAUAAGGCAAUUCAGAACCAUCUCAACCACUUUCUUUUCCCCCUUUUACAUCUCUUUCUCUCUCAUGUCCUCACCUACAUCCAGUUUGGCCGCCCAUCCACCAUUGACCCACCACCUCCACCCAUCCCCACACCCCACCCUCCCCACCACCUCCAACUAUGCAAACUCAAUUGACUCUUCCCGGCGCUCACGCGCUACUGACUUCGAUGAUCCAUUGCAAUCCACCACAUGCUCCGCGACAAGCGCCAAUAAACUUCGCCUCAUUUACAGAAUCGAACUCGGAACUCAGGACGAACGAUCCAUCGAACAAGAAGUAUAAACUACGGUUGAGGUACAAAGAAGAUCAUGGGAUGCCUUAGAGUGAGGAUGCAACCACCAAAUUCACGAUCGAUGUUUAGUAAAGAUAACUAUGUCUCACUAGUAAUAAUGGAUGUAUUAACUAAACUCUAAGUUAAAUUUCAUGAUUUGAGUUAGAAUUUUAAUAUUAAUGUUUAAUCAAUGC